rnacentral:rRNA from 1 species
GACAGCAGUAGCCACGGUAAUACGAAGGGUGCAAGCGUUAAUCGGAAUUACUGGGCGUAAAGCGUGCGUAGGCGGUGAGUUAAGUCUGCUGUGAAAUCCCCGGGCUCAACCUGGGAAUGGCAGUGGAUACUGGCUCGCUAGAGUGUGUCAGAGGAUGGUGGAAUUCCCGGUGUAGCGGUGAAAUGCGUAGAGAUCGGGAGGAACAUCAGUGGCGAAGGCGGCCAUCUGGGACAACACUGACGCUGAGGCACGAAAGCGUGGGGAGCAAACAGGAUUAGAUACCCCGGUAGUCCCUGUCUCUUAUAC